AUGAACGCUGGCGGCGUGCCUCAUACAUGCAAGUCGAGCGAACGGACGAGAAGCUUGCUUUUCUGAUGUUAGCGGCGGACGGGUGAGUAACACGUGGAUAACCUACCUAUAAGACUGGGAUAACUUCGGGAAACCGGAGCUAAUACCGGAUAAUAUUUUGAACCGCAUGGUUCAAAAGUGAAAGACGGUCUUGCUGUCACUUAUAGAUGGAUCCGCGCUGCAUUAGCUAGUUGGUAAGGUAACGGCUUACCAAGGCAACGAUGCAUAGCCGACCCGAGAGGGUGAUCGGCCACACUGGAACUGAGACACGGUCCAGACUCCUACGGGAGGCAGCAGUAGGGAAUCUCCGCAAUGGGCGAAAGCCUGACGGAGCAACGCCGCGUGAGUGAUGAAGGUCUUCGGAUCGUAAAACUCUGUUAUUAGGGAAGAACAUAUGUGUAAGUAACUGUGCACAUCUUGACGGUACCUAAUCAGAAAGCCACGGCUAACUACGUG
rnacentral:rRNA from 1 species